AUUGAACGCUGGCGGCGUGCUUAACACAUGCAAGUCGAUCGGUAACAGGUGUAGCAAUACAUGCUGACGAGAGGCGGACGGGUGAGUAAUGCUUGGGAAUCUGCCUAUUAGUGGGGGACAACCCGGGGAAACGUCGGGCUAAUACCGCAUACGCUCUACGGAGGAAAGCCGGGGACCGCAAGGCCUGGCGCUAAUAGAUGAGCCCAAGUCGGAUUAGCUAGUUGGUAGGGUAACGGCCUACCAAGGCGACAAUCCGUAGCUGGUCUGAGAGGACGACCAGCCACACCGGAACUGAGACACGGUCCGGACUCCUACGGGAGGCAGCAGUGGGGAAUAUUGGACAAUGGGGGCAACCCUGAUCCAGCGACGCCGCGUGGGUGAAGAAGGCCUGCGGGUUGUAAAGCCCUUUCGGUGGGG
rnacentral:rRNA from 1 species